rnacentral:tRNA from 1 species
GAUCCCUUAGCUCAGUGGUAGAGCGUGUGAUUCCAGUACGUGAGUUGAACCCCAAUUCCGGAUGUCCACAAGGCCAAGCAUUCAACUCGCUUAGGGGUCA